AAUUUUUUUGAAAAAAUAAUAAUGAUUUUUGAAUAAUUGGAUUAGUGGUUUAGUGUUUAAAGUUUUUUAUUAACCAAGCUUUCGACAAUCAACUGUUGUCAUCAUCAGGGUAAAACUAUAAAUGAAAAUUUUGUUUCAAAGCUUUCUUGUUAAAAUUGGAAUAAUUGGGUUCCAUGCAUUGCUUAGUUUAUAUCCGUUGU